UACGUAGGGUGCAAGCGUUAAUCGGAAUUACUGGGCGUAAAGCGUGCGCAGGCGGUUUUGUAAGUCUGUCGUGAAAGCCCCGGGCUUAACCUGGGAAUUGCGAUGGAGACUGCAAGGCUUGGAUCUGGCAGAGGGGGGUAGAAUUCCACGUGUAGCAGUGAAAUGCGUAGAGAUGUGGAGGAACACCGAUGGCGAAGGCAGCCCCCUGGGUCAAGAUUGACGCUCAUGCACGAAAGCGUGGGAGCAAACAGG
rnacentral:rRNA from 1 species